rnacentral:rRNA from 1 species
UAAUACGUAGGGUGCGAGCGUUAAUCGGAAUUACUGGGCGUAAAGCGUACGCAGGCGGCUUGGUAAGACAGAUGUGAAAUCCCCGGGCUCAACCUGGGAACUGCAUUUGUGACUGCUUGGCUAGAGUUUGUCAGAGGGGGGUGGAAUUCCACGUGUAGCAGUGAAAUGCGUAGAGAUGUGGAGGAACACCGAUGGCGAAGGCAGCCCCCUGGGAUGGAACUGACGCUCAUGUACGAAAGCGUGGGGAGCAAACAGGAUUAGAUACCCUGGUAGUCCACGCCCUAAACGAUGUCGACUAGUUGUCGGGUCCUUGCGGGCUCGGUAACGCAGCUAACGCGUGAAGUCGACCGCCUGGGGAGUACGGUCGCAAGAUUA